GGUCAGGUUUGGAAUAAUUAGUAUAGAAUAAUUUCAUUCGUAUCCCUAAAAAUAUUAGAAAUAUUAUAGAUAACCUUAUAAAAAUUAGUAAUAUCAAAUCAAACAACAGAGAAUAAGAUGAGAAAAUAUUUAAUAAAGUUGAAGAACUAUUUCAAAAUAUCUUAUUGUUGAGAUAGCUCCUUAUAUUUUCUAUAUUAGAGAAGAUAGCUGCAUUUAUUUAAAAUUAUUUCGUAAUUUGUCCGUAAUAUUUCAUAAUUAUUCUGAAAUUAAUUUUUAUAACUAAUUUUCAAAAUGAAAUUUUAAAAUAACUACCCUCUUAUAUAUUUGUUAGUCAUUGCUUAGUUCUUUUUUCAUAU
rnacentral:lncRNA from 1 species